rnacentral:rRNA from 1 species
AGCGAACGCUGGCGGUAUGCUUAACACAUGCAAGUCGAGCGCGAAAGUGACUUCGGUCAUGAGUAGAGCGGCGGACGGGUGAGUAACACGUGGAUAAUCUGCCUUUAGGACUGGGAUAACCCUGGGAAACUAGGGCUAAUACCGGAUAAGACCACAGGUUCCAUGGAACCAGGGGUAAAAGGCGGCCUUCGGGCUGUCGCCGAAAGAUGAGUCCGCGUCCCAUCAGGUAGUUGGUGAGGUAACGGCUCACCAAGCCGAAGACGGGUAGCCGACCUUAGCGGGUGAUCGGCCACACGGGGACUGAGACAC